ACUAAUCAAUUCGGUACCAAUUUUUUGGGCGUGUCGAGGGUGCUAAUCCUUCCUCGCACGUAACCGACUCCCGAACUCAUUCUCUCAAGUUUCGUAGACCAAAGGCCUUGUUUUAGUAAACUAAAAUUGAUUUAUUAAAACAAAGGUAAUCCGAUCACACCUGAUAAAAGAUUGAUGGCGACUCCCAUUUUAAUUUUCACUUUCAAACAAAGUCGAUCCCCGUUUUCAAAAGAAUGGUUUCGACAGCUUGGCGACUCC
rnacentral:lncRNA from 1 species